rnacentral:rRNA from 1 species
UACAUCACGUUGAAAGACCGAUCCCCCGUACGAUCACCGAAGUUAAGCAACGUCGAACCUGGUCAGUACCUAGAUGGGUGACCGCUUGGGAAUACCAGCAGCUGUAA